UCUCCGUAGGUGAACCUGCGGAGGGAUCACUACAGAAUUGCUAAAGCUCUGACACCCCUGUAUUCCUAUGUGAAUCUGCUUCCGCCGUCUGUCCCCCUGUGCGCCCUUGAAGGGAGACAUUCGUAGACAUUCCCCUGUAGACGGUCUCUCUCUUUACACCACAUACUCUAAUGUUAACAUAGAAUAUUUAAACGCACAACACCAUUUAAUUACAACUUUUAACAACGGACCUCUUGGCUCUCGCACCGACGAAGAACGCCCCAGACCGGAAAACAACAC
rnacentral:misc_RNA from 1 species